UGGUGGAGUGAUUUGUCUGGUUAAUUCCGUUAACGAACGAGACGACCGCCUGCUAAUUAUGUGGCAGUAACGCUCGCGUUGCUAGCAACUUCUUAGAGGGACUCUUGGUGACUAACCAAGGGAAGCUGGUCGCAAUAACA
rnacentral:rRNA from 1 species